UACGGAGGGUGCAAGCGUUAAUCGGAAUUACUGGGCGUAAAGCGUGCGUAGGCGGCUCGUUAAGUCAGAUGUGAAAGCCCCGGGCUCAACCUGGGAACUGCAUUUGAAACUGAUGAGCUAGAGUUGAGUAGAGGUAAGUGGAAUUUCAGGUGUAGCGGUGAAAUGCGUAGAUAUCUGAAGGAACACCAGUGGCGAAGGCGACUUACUGGACUCAAACUGACGCUGAGGUACGAAAGCGUGGGUAGCAAACAGG
rnacentral:rRNA from 1 species